CUGGGGUGAUGAAGAAAGAGUCUCUGGAACAAAAUGGUUGGCCCCUCUUUCCAGAAGGAAUAGAGUGAGGACGUAAAAGAGACAGCAGUAUCCUUUGAGGCAGGAGUGAUGGGAUGGCUGGUCCGCAGAAAGCCAGGAUAGGUAACAAAGCUAGGCUGACACACUUUAGAGAGCUGAGUGGUCUACUGGAAGGCCGACAGAGUUUCUUCAUGCUGGCUGUCCACAUCAGGAAGGGACUACUUUUUAAGUAGUAUCCUUGGUGGACAAUGAGCCCCUGCUCCACCUGGAUCCCCUCUGUAGACACAGCAUCCUAGUGGCUGGGGUGUUGAGUGCAACCCUGAAGCUGAGCCAGCCCCAGGGGAGAGAUACCAAACUGACAGAUGGUUGGAGAAGAGUAAAUAGUAGCCUACAACCCCUUCUUAAGCAGAACUCCCAAGAGAAGAAAGUAAUUUCCAUCAUGGCUUAUGAUGAAUUCCCAAGCAGCUCUACUGCUGUGUGCUAAAUGAAUAAGUGACUGUUAAGUGGAAUUGCCCUUUUGUGACUAUUACUAUCUAGUGCAAAUUUCCUGCCAAAGGGCUGUGCCAGCUUACAUUGUCACAGGAAAUGGGACCUGCUUCCCUAUAGACUUGGGUAUUCUUAUUUUAAACAAUUUUGCCUGAGUUAAUACCAUUCUCAUUUUAAUUUGCAUUUCUUUGCUUAUUAGUGAGGCUAAAUGCUAUUUUCCCAGAUUUGUGUUCCUUUUUGAGUGACUCUAUAACCUGAUUAUGAAAAUGGGGGAGAGAAGUUCCCUUGAGACACCAGUGAGAAGAGAAGGGUAAGAAAGGAAAAAGGAAAGAUUGGAGAAAGAGAAAGCUCCUUAGACUAAAGUUGGAGUAGGACAAAACACACAGAAUCUGGAGUCACUUCCCCCAAUUUCCCAUUUCAACUGCAACUCUACCACUUUAUACGUAUGUGACCUUGGGCAAAUCACUUAAUUUUACCCAUAAAAUAGAUAAUAGUUCUUGAUUCAUAAGACAUUAUAAAGAUUAAAUAAAUUAAUGUAUGAAAAGUACCUCAAUUAACAAUGAAAAAGUACCUCAGCCUAAUAAUUACUAUAAUAAUUAUUAUAAAUACAUCAUUGNNNNNNNNNNNNNNNNNNNNNNNNNNNNNNNNNNNNNNNNNUUUCUAUUAAUAUAAUUAUUAUCCAAGCACUAACCUAGACAGUUUGCACAGGUACCUAAGAUGAUAGAAUAAAGCAGAAAGACAAUGAGUGGAGUAUCUGAAACUGGACACACCUGGAAAUGAAUCUU
rnacentral:lncRNA from 1 species